rnacentral:rRNA from 1 species
CAAUAGCGUAUAUUAAAGUUGUUGCAGUUAAAAAGCUCGUAGUUGGAUUUCUGGUUGAAGCGACCGGUCGGGCGUUGAUUCGUCUGCACUGGAGUCGGUUUUGGCCAUCCUCUAGGAAAGUGCGUCUGGUAUUAAGUUAUCGGGCGUAUGAUCCUGGUCUUUUACUGUGAAAAAAUUAGAGUGUUUAAAGCAGGCCUUCGCCUUGAAUACAUUAGCAUGGAAUAAUAAGAUAGGACUUUGGUCUAUUUUGUUGGUUUGCAGACCGAAGUAAUGAUUAAUAGAGAUAGUUGGGGGUAUUUAUAUUCCGAUGUCAGAGGUGAAAUUCUUAGAUUUUCGGAAGAUAAACUUAUGCGAAAGCAUUUACCAAGGAUGUUUUCAUUAA